UACAGAGGUCUCAAGCGUUGUUCGGAUUCAUUGGGCGUAAAGGGUGUGUAGGUGGCGCGCUAAGUCGGGUGUGAAAUUUCGGAGCUUAACUCCGAAACUGCAUUCGAUACUGGCGUGCUUGAGGACUGGAGAGGAGACUGGAAUUUACGGUGUAGCGGUGAAAUGCGCAGAUAUCAGGAGGAACACCAAUGGCGAAGGCAGCUCGCUGGAACGGUACUGACGCUGAGGCGCGAAAGCGUGGGGAGCGAACAGG
rnacentral:rRNA from 1 species